rnacentral:pre_miRNA from 1 species
AGCUUCUGAAUCCGUGCGAAGAUUUCGUCAGUCACCAAAACAAUAGGGCUGAUCAGACUUCUUAGAUAAGUGAAGUU